ACAAGAUUGUUGACCUACGCUAAUCUACCAACCAAUAAACAUGUUUUGGCCAACCAGAAAAAUGGAUAUGCGUACAAUUAUUUUCCUAGGUUUGAAACUUGCAACUCUGAAAAAUGAAAUUCAAACAAAACUUUAGCCUCAGGAUUAGGUUACUUUAUGAGUUGUUUUUACUCUAUAGUUGACAGAGCGGAUAUACACCAACCUGGAGCAAAGCUCCCACAAUUUUCGGCAAAUGGAUCAACGUAGCCAUGACUUCUAAGUGCUAACUGAUCUCCCUCAAAAAGAAAAGGUGCUAACUGUUCUCCCUCAAAAAGAAAAGGUGCUACCGGAUCUAGCCCUUUGCCUGCUCCACAGACUGCAAAUUGAACAGAUGGCUACAACACAUUUCAAAGGAUCACUACAAGCACCCCAAAACAGCAUGUCAACUAUUUGACUCACCAUUUGUCUUGCCUCUGUCAGGUUUAGUGUCCUGCUGUGUCGCAUCUGGCGGAGCAUUAGUAGCAUCCUUGAUGUCCUUAAUCUUGACUGACGCUAGCUGACUAUCACUUCCAUCGCUUUUUGAAGCAGAGGCCUUAUCAGGAGAUGAUGUCUCACCUUUCUUCAGAGAUUCCUCUUUCGUAUGGGCAGGACUUCUCAUUUUGUCCUCUGCAAUUUCCUUAACGACACCCUCUAAUGUAUCUAACCUGACUAAAACCGUUGCCAGCUUCGAAUCGGCAUCCUCCUUAACAGAGUCGGCUUCAAGUUGUUUCUGUUUCUCUACUUCCUCGAUUUUUUUCCUUUUUACUUCUGCUUCC
rnacentral:lncRNA from 1 species